rnacentral:ncRNA from 1 species
UGACCUCGGAUCAGACGUGAUUACCCGCUGAAUUUAAGCAUAUUAUUAAGCGGAGGAAAAGAAACUAACAAGGAUUCCCCUAGUAACGGCGAGUGAACGGGGAAGAGCCCAACACCGAAUCCCUUGGCGCAAGUCAACGGGAAAUGUGGUGUUAAGGUAGCCCUUCGUGUCAGUCUAGGCGUCUCAAGUCCACCUGAUUGUGGCUCAAGCCCAGAGAGGGUGUAAGGCCCGUAGAGACGCUCCGACUGAUUCCUGGGGUUUACCUACGAGUCGGCUUGUUUGGGAAUGCAGGCCAAAGCGGGUGGUAAACUCCAUCCAAGGCUAAAUACUGGCACGAGUCCGAUAGCGGACAAGUACCCGAGGAGGAAAGUUGAAAAGAACUUUGAAGAGAGAGUUCAAUAGUACGUGAAACCGCUUAGAGGCAAACGGAUGGUGCUCAUACUGGCCUGAGGAAUUCAACUGUGACGGUGGCUGGACGAGCUGGCGUUCCGAUCUCUCUUUUGGGACGGGCGUCGGUUUGGCUAUCAGCUCUGACAUGGUGCACUUUCCUUGGUGCCUCCGCCACGACCGACGACACUGGCUACCCGCGGCUGGGGUAAGGUGACAAACUGCUUCGGCAAUUUGUGUUAUAGACCCCGGCGUCGGACAUGGUUUGGCCAGGACGUCGAGCUUGCGGCGCCCGCUCCUUGUGGGCUCGCAUGUUGGCUAGCUUGGCUGCGCCGAUGCUUGCACUGGACAACCAGUACAGGUGACGGUUGUGGUCUUGUCUCUAGUUGGCCUCUGCGAGUUUGGCGCCUAUAGUCUGUGGUGUACUUGUGGGUAGACUAUCCGACCCGUCUUGAAACACGGACCAAGGAGUCUAACAUGUGCGCGAGUCAUGGGGAUUCUACGAAACCCAAAGGCGCAGUGAAAGUAAAGGCCUGCUUCUCGUAGGCUGAGGUGGGAUCUCGUGCAUCGCGAUUGGCGAGCGCACCACCGGCCCGUCCUAUCUGUCUCUGUCAGUGGGGCGGCGCAAGAGCGUACACGUUGGGACCCGAAAGAUGGUGAACUAUGCUUGCGCAGCUCGAAGUCAGUGGAAACACUGAUGGAGGAGCGCAGCGUUUCUGACGUGCAAAUCGAUCGUCAAACGUGAGUAUAGGGGCGAAAGACUAAUCGAACCAUCUAGUAGCUGGUUCCCUCCGAAGUUUCCCUCAGGAUAGCUGGCACUCGGGAAACAGUUUUAUCCGGUAAAGCGAAUGAUUAGAGGCAUUGGGGUCGAAACGACCUCGACCUAUUCUCAAACUUUAAAUGGGUAAGAUGCUCGUCUCGCUUAAUUGGAGGCGGGCUUCACCUCUCUAACGUGAAUGUGAGUGCCCAGUGGGCCAUUUUUGGUAAGCAGAACUGGCGCUGUGGGAUGAACCAAACGCGCGGUUAAGGCGCCCAAUGCGGACGCUCAUGAGACACCACAAAA